rnacentral:misc_RNA from 1 species
CUGAAAACAACAACCACACUGAAAACAACAAAACCAACACCAAACACAACAGCGCAUCGCCUUAAAUCGCAGCAAGAAAAGAAGAAAAUAAAUGCAAGCGUUUUAAAAAUAACAACAGCAACGCGUAAGCGCAACAGUAAAGCAUCGUUAGACGCGCAAACAAAAAAUAAAAAUAAUAAAAACAAGCAACAUUGCAGGCAACGCCGCAACAAAGUAGCUGCUACUGUCAAUGUAUUCCAUAAAAUAUUUCCACACUAUCUAACAAAUCACAAAUCAGUGUAUACAAAAACAAAAACAAAUAUAUAUAAUUGCGCCGCACAGUGUUUCGUGUACAACAACAGCAAUAACAACAUAAUAUUCUCAACGCGACAACAUUUUAAGCGGGCAGCGACAAGCAGUUUGAGUCACAACACCAAAAUGGAUAUAGAAUCAGACGACUCGGAACGCUGGGAGGACUUUUUUGGCAGCUCCACAGAAUUGGCACCAUCGCUUUUGGGCAUCUACGACACCUUGACGAGUGCGCUCGAGGCUAGCAACAAAAAUACAAACGAUAACAUUAACAACAAUAAUAAUAGUAACAUAAAUCAGCAGAACAGCAGUGGCGAAAAUAUAAAAAUAAGCGAAAACGGCGACGAGAACGCCUACAGCAUUGACGAGCAUUCUAACGGUAAUGUAAGCAUUGCAAGCAAUCACAGCGACUCACCGACGCUCAGCAAUAAGAGUAGUCGCAGUUCAAGUUUCAGCGCAGAGGAAAAGUUAAGCGCCGAAUAUAGUUUCCAUAUAGGCGGUUACAACAACAACAAUAACAAUAAUUGUAGCGACAGCAACAGUAAUAAGAGUAAUUGUUACGCUGUAGGGGAAGAGCGGCAGCAACCUUCACAUUCGCCUUCACCUGCGCUACCAAAGCGACAGUUAAACGAACAGUCCCCAGAGAUCGGAACUUUUUUGAGUGCUUCUACUGACAGCGGCUUUGGCGGCGGUCGCAACACCACGCUUGCUUUGCUCAACCUCGCCUAUAGCAACAGCCACAACAACAGCUUUCACGGCAUCCACAAUCACAACAUAAAACACACUUACAGUGCGAGUAGUCGCAGUCUCAAUUCGCUCUCAUCGUCGUCCUCGUGCAGUCAACGCAGUAGCAGCAGCGGCAGUGGAAGCGGUAGCGGUAGCGCAUGUCAUAAUAGCCCAACAGGCUCACGCUUGUCGCGCGAAACGCCAUUCGUCCACAGCUCGGGCAGCGGCGGCAGUCUCAACAGCCCCAGCAAACAUCGCAAUCAAAUACGCAUACUGUCACCCAAUGUCCAGCGCAUAAUUACACACUCUGAUGCGGAGCGCGUGGAAACUGUGGACAUAGACGCGCUACAGCAACAACCCACACACUUGACGAGUCCAACACAAUCGCCAGCGCUGCAUCACCGGUACGUGAAAAAAGCGCCACCACCAAGCGCGACUUCAACGCCGAACAGCAUACACAAAGUAAAGCUCUCACAUAUACCGCUCUCUAAGAUUACCGGGAAGUUAACGCAGUCGGGUAGCGAAUUAGUUGAGACCUUCGAUUCCAGUUCCGAGUACUUAGAUGCGCUCAACUUUCACUCGUAUACUGAGGCGAAGCCCGCGCGCGGUCUAAAGAAGCCACCGACGCCGGCUGUAGUUACCAUACCGUGUUUGGAGGGUUCUACUGGCGAUGGUGAGGUUACACCGACUAAUCAAAAUACCUCAGCCGUAAAAACGAACGAUUCCCUUGGUGCUUUCAACUUUAGCGCAAACUACAAGUUAUCACUGCCGAAUUAUGAACGCCAAGAAAGUAUUAAACUAAUUGAAAUGGAGCAAUUGGCCACCACAUCGCAAAUGUUAACUGCCGCAUGUGCACCGCCGCCACCAACCAGCUUGCCACUGGCGGUGGAACACCAACAAAAUCACAAUCACAAUAAUAAUAAUAUAAACAACAAUAAUAAUAUCUCUAGCGCGCUCAAUACACCACCACCAAUACCAUCCAAAGAGUUUAUCGCCACUGCACCUUUGUCACCCUCUGAUUUUGUAGAGACUUUGAACUAUCCGCUAAUCACAAAAGACCUCGCAUCCCUUACACUCAAUGAAAAGGACAGCAUGAACUCAUCCAUGACAAGCGUUGAACUCAUCGAAGCUAUUAAUAAGCCAGUGAUCUCUAAACCUUUAGUGCGCAGCUCGUCGGCAGCCUGUGCCUCAACUGUGUCCGGUUCACCGAUGCUCACCUAUGCGCGCUCUAAAAGCUUGGCAGCGAAGGCCAAUACUUUGGGCGGUGCAGUACCAAUAAAAUUGCCCACUGCACAGCAGUUGGAAGAGCUUGAGGAGGCGAGCAAAAUGUCGGCGGAGAGCUUAGAUCGCCUAACUGAUAUUAAGUCAAAGUUUUCGCCAAAAGAGUCACGCAAAGGUGGUCCAAUGCUGCCAGAGAUUGCCAAACUCAAACAUCGUCCGCUUUCUUCGUCUUCCAUUUGCUCAACAUCGUCUAGUUCUAGUUCCGGUUCGGAUCAUCUGAAUGGCAAGCUGGCCACAUCGUAUUUGGCGAGUGUUGAGAGUCUGGCCGAUCAAAGUGAGAAUGAACUUAUGGAUCCGCAUAGUGGUAUGACAGUUUUAGAGCGCGCUAUGCUAGAGAUAGUCGACUCUGAACGCAGUUUUGUGGAGGACUUGGGGCAGGUCAUAAAAGGUUAUCUAUCGGAUUGGAGGGAACGUGCCUGCCUACGUUAUGACGAACUGAAAAUACUCUUCUCAAAUAUUGAAGAGAUUUAUGAGUUCAACUCGACGCUCCUGAAGCAGUUAAUCAACUCUGGUAUGGACCCAGGAAAAAUAGCGAAAUGUUUUAUAGAAUUGCGCGAAAGAUUUGAUGUAUACACAACAUAUUGUACAAGUUAUCCUGAAGCCAUAUCACUGCUGACCAAACUGUUACAGGCCACACACACCAACGCACUGCUGACGUCCACACAAAAAAUGUUGCAACACAAAUUGCCACUCGGCUCAUAUUUGCUGAAGCCGGUGCAACGUAUACUUAAAUAUCAUCUGCUAUUGGACAACCUUCGUAAGCAUUGCGAUGUGAAGGAAGUGUUGCAAGCCUACGAAAUCAUGCGGCAAGUGGCGCGUAAUAUCGAUCAGGUGAAGCGUAAGUUGGAGCAACAAAUAAGAGUUAAAGAACUAUCUGGUAUAUUGGACGGUUGGUUGGGACCAGAACUCACCGUUUUGGGCGAACUCCGCCAAGAGGGUCUCCUCAUGGAACACAAUAAGCCACGCAUGGUCUUCCUUUUCGACACGAUGCUGAUCAUUACUAAGUCCAAAGAGGAUAAUCGUCUGCAAUUCAAGAGUUACAUACACCAAAAUAAUCUAAUGCUAAGCGAACAUUUACCCGGCGAACCGACGAGCUUUUAUGUAAUACCCUACCAUGAGCCGCGUAAUCAAAUCAAAUUGACAGCCAAAAAUCGUGACCAGAAACGUCUCUGGGCGCAACACAUUAAAGGAGUCAUACUCGAGAAAUUCGACAACAUACCAAAUCGCGCCAAGGAGUUGGUCUACAAGUUGGGCGAUGAGGAAGUAAAAUUUUAGAACAUGCGCACCACAGUAACUAACAAUUUAACACGAAAGUUUAGAAACGUAGCAAAAAUUUUGUUUAUAUCGUAACAAACAAACAAACAAAAAUACUCGUUAAAUCGGCCGUGAGAGGGUUAAACACGAAAGUAACCGCACACCGGACAAGAAUACCUGGAAGUGGAGUCUGCACUCGACUUCGACAACGCCCGUUUACUUGGAGCGACGCAAUCAGUACCGAC